rnacentral:piRNA from 1 species
UNGCAGGAUGCAGACUAGGUCAAGUGGUU